CCGUUGGUGGCGGCGGCCGUUGGUGGCGGCGGCCGUUGGUGGCGGCGGCCGUUAGGGCGGGGCGGCCCCGCGGGGCUGUGCGUGCCUGGCGGGCGGCGGGGGCUGCGGGACCGACCGGCUGGCGGCACGGGUCUGUGGGCUGCACGCUUAAACGUCUGCAUGCGGAUAUAGGUGUAUAUGGAGUUCGACAAGGCCGAGCGCAAGGGAGAACAUGAAGCUGGCUGGGAAGAGCUGAGAGGCUCCCCUUGGUGCUGCUACCCCUCAGAGCUAGCUCCUGCAGGUCUCACCUGUGCACCACAAGGGCGAGGGUCUGCCAAGUUGGAGAUGGAGCCCUGGGAGGGGGAAGGGUGGGGGAGAUGGCAGGCAAUGCCCCAGGUGCUGAAAUGCCUCCUUGGUCUAUGCCGGUUUUUUUCAGUGCUCAGCUCUUCCUUGCUUUCUGCCUCUCAUGCUGCAAUGGUGCUAAGCUUGCUCUUUCCUUCCGCUGGGAAGCGAGCAGGUGUUCCUGGGCCUCAGCUUCUGGUAGAAAGGUCUGACUGCCUGUUGUCUCACAGCCUGCUGAGCUGCACUGGGUUCUGUGCUGGGGACACACCAUUUCGUUCUUCCAAAGUUGUAUCUUCAUGGGAGAUACACCCUGCACAACAACUUCCUUUUUCAAAUACUGGCUGUAUGUGUUGGGCUUCUGUAAAGGACUGAGCUGUUGCUCCGUGGCUCAACAUUGUUCUCUUAAACAUUGCUUUAGCUUGUGUAAAGGAAGGAAACCUCGGGGCUUGAACAGACUUUAUAAGCAAGCUUGUUGCUUUGGCUUGUAUGAAGGAAAGAAACAGCAAAGUUAACGACACUUGUGUGAAGAUCCUGUUAAGCCUGAGAAGCACAAAAACUGUCUGAGUCAGGAACACAAAGCACAACAUUACCUGUCAUGGAGACGAAGCACAAAACCACCUGAAUCACAAAGGAGGAGGCAAUGGAAAUUAGUCCUGACCCAAGAAGAGGUGGAGAAUGGACGGGGACAGUGACUCUGAAAGGGCUGUGCCACAGGAAGGAUCUUCCCCACUGACUGCAGCAACCGGACCUCUGGGACGCUGCUGAAUCCAUCGUAGUAACUAUCCUAUCUCUUGCAAUUCUCAGUAUUUCUGCUUUCUCCCCUCCUGUCUGUCUUUCUCUCUGCCGUAUCCACCUCAAUGACCUUUAUUCUGGAACUUCAAUAAAGUUUGGUGUGUACAUGA